rnacentral:tRNA from 1 species
GGCCUCGUUGGUUAGAGCGUUGGCUGUACUAAAGCCUUCCCCUUGCUGGCGUGGGUUCAAAUCCCACCGAGGCCG